rnacentral:rRNA from 1 species
AGUAGCCGCGGUAAUUCCAGCUCCAAUAGCGUAUAUUAAAGUUGUUGCAGUUAAAAAGCUCGUAGUUGAAUUUCGGGGUUAGUAGAUUGGUUAUGCCUCUGGUAUGUACUGGUCUUACUGAUUCCUCCUUCCUGAUGAGCCGUAAUGCCAUUAAUUUGGUGUUGCGAGGAAUCUGGACUGUUACUUUGAAAAAAUUAGAGUGUUUAAAGCAGGCUAACGCUUGAAUACAUUAGCAUGGAAUAAUGAAAUAGGACGUUCGAUCCUAUUUUGUUGGUUUCUAGGAUUGACGUAAUGAUUAAUAGGGAUAGUUGGGGGCAUUAGUAUUCAAUUGUCAGAGGUGAAAUUCUUGGAUUUAUUGAAGACUAACUACUGCGAAAGCAUUUGCCAAGGAUGUUUUCAUUAAUCAAGAACGAAAGUUAGGGGAUCGAAGACGAUCAGAUACCGUCGUAGUCUUAACCAUAAACUAUGCCGACUAGGGAUCGGAUGAUGUUAAUUUUUUAAUGACUCAUUCGGCGCCUUACG